UACGGAGGGUGCAAGCGUUAUCCGGAUUCACUGGGUUUAAAGGGUGCGUAGGUGGGCAGGUAAGUCAGUGGUGAAAUCUCCGGGCUUAACCCGGAAACUGCCAUUGAUACUAUCUGUCUUGAAUACCGUGGAGGUGAGCGGAAUAUGUCAUGUAGCGGUGAAAUGCUUAGAUAUGACAUAGAACACCAAUUGCGAAGGCAGCUCACUACGCGAAUAUUGACACUGAGGCACGAAAGCGUGGGGAUCGAUCAGG
rnacentral:rRNA from 1 species